AAAUUGAAGAGUUUGAUCAUGGCUCAGAUUGAACGCUGGCGGCAGGCCUAACACAUGCAAGUCGAGCGGUAGCACAGAGAGCUUGCUCUCGGGUGACGAGCGGCGGACGGGUGAGUAAUGUCUGGGAAACUGCCUGAUGGAGGGGGAUAACUACUGGAAACGGUAGCUAAUACCGCAUAACGUCGCAAGACCAAAGUGGGGGACCUUCGGGCCUCAUGCCAUCAGAUGUGCCCAGAUGGGAUUAGCUGGUAGGUGGGGUAACGGCUCACCUAGGCGACGAUCCCUAGCUGGUCUGAGAGGAUGACCAGCCACACUGGAACUGAGACACGGUCCAGACUCCUACGGGAGGCAGCAGUGGGGAAUAUUGCACAAUGGGCGCAAGCCUGAUGCAGCCAUGCCGCGUGUGUGAAGAAGGCCUUCGGGUUGUAAAGCACUUUCAGCGGGGAGGAAGGCGAUAAGGUUAAUAACCUUGUCGAUUGACGUUACCCGCAGAAGAAGCACCGGCUAACUCCGUGCCAGCAGCCGCGGUAAUACGGAGGGUGCAAGCGUUAAUCGGAAUUACUGGGCGUAAAGCGCACGCAGGCGGUCUGUCAAGUCGGAUGUGAAAUCCCCGGGCUCAACCUGGGAACUGCAUUCGAAACUGGCAGGCUAGAGUCUUGUAGAGGGGGGUAGAAUUCCAGGUGUAGCGGUGAAAUGCGUAGAGAUCUGGAGGAAUACCGGUGGCGAAGGCGGCCCCCUGGACAAAGACUGACGCUCAGGUGCGAAAGCGUGGGGAGCAAACAGGAUUAGAUACCCUGGUAGUCCACGCUGUAAACGAUGUCGAUUUGGAGGUUGUGCCCUUGAGGCGUGGCUUCCGGAGCUAACGCGUUAAAUCGACCGCCUGGGGAGUACGGCCGCAAGGUUAAAACUCAAAUGAAUUGACGGGGGCCCGCACAAGCGGUGGAGCAUGUGGUUUAAUUCGAUGCAACGCGAAGAACCUUACCUGGUCUUGACAUCCAC
rnacentral:rRNA from 1 species